UGGAAACCUAACAUUAUCUCCUUGCUAUUUCAGUGAUACGUACUCAAAAGCAAGUCUGAAUGUUUGCAUUUGGACUUUUGAGUAGGGCAGAAGUAAAUAUGUGAUGUCAUAACACAUUUUUAAGGCAUGAAAGUGAUGCCUGCACAAAUAUUCCAUUUGAUGGUUUCUACUCGUUAAUUGGCUCAAAUUACAGCCAAUGAACAAAAGGCAAGACUAUAUUCCAUGGUGUUACAAGCAUAACUACACAGUAUAUGCUCUCACUAAAGAUUAAAAACAAACAAACAAAAAAAACAAACAAAAAACAAAAAAACCAUGAACUAACAAAAAGAAUUAUCAAUCAAUACGAACAAAAGGGCUAAUCUACUAACAUCAUUCACAGACUUCCCCACACCCCCUCAAUUACUGCUGCCCAGCUGGGAACUCGUCUCCCUAAGACACAACCCCCCUCAGUUAUAACUGGACAAACCACCUGUGAGUGAUGGUGGUGGUGGCCGGCGCUGUGCUGCGUCCUGUACCACCGCUUGUCUCCGCCCUUCCCGCUGCGGCCCAAGGACCUGCUGCUGUGGUGGUGGUGGUGGUGGUGGGCACUCUUGUCGUGCUCGCGGUGUUGUUGCCUGCUGUCAUAGCCCUGUGUGUGCUCACUCCUGUACUCCUCCACAUAGCGUCUCCGCUUGUGGUGCUCCCGGUCAUUUACGGAUUUGGCCUCCGAACAUUUGCUGUGAGGCCGCUUGGCCAUCUCAUGCCUGUAGUGCCUGCUCUCCUGGGCACCGCUGUGCGAUCUCCGCUUCCCCUGGCGCUCACUGCCGCCGCGCCGCCGAUCCCACCCGGGCUGGUCGCUGCGCUCGUAAUUUCCCAUCUCAGCAGCCCGGGUUGCCGCCGCGCUCUCCGACCGCCGCCGCUACUCUCUCUGUAGCCGUCGCUACCUCCGCACGUUAGCCGCACUCAGCUCUCAACUCUCG
rnacentral:lncRNA from 1 species